UACGUAGGGUGCGAGCGUUGUUCGGAAUCACUGGGCGUAAAGCGCGUGUAGGCGGAUGGUUAAGUCAGAUGUGAAAUCCCCCGGCUUAACCGGGGAAGUGCAUUUGAUACUGGCCGUCUGGAGUGCGGAAGAGGGAGGGGGAAUUCCCGGUGUAGAGGUGAAAUUCGUAGAGAUCGGGAGGAAUACCGGUGGCGAAGGCGCCCUCCUGGGACGACACUGACGCUGAGACGCGAAAGCGUGGGGAG
rnacentral:rRNA from 1 species